rnacentral:rRNA from 1 species
UACGUAGGGUGCGAGCGUUGUCCGGAAUUAUUGGGCGUAAAGAGCUUGUAGGCGGUUUGUCGCGUCUGCCGUGAAAAUCCGGGGCUCAACCCCGGACUUGCGGUGGGUACGGGCAGACUAGAGUGUGGUAGGGGAGACUGGAAUUCCAGGUGUAGCGGUGAAAUGCGUAGAUAUCUGGAGGAAUACCGGUGGCGAAGGCGGCAUCCUGGACCGGCAUUGACGCUGAGGAGCGAAAGCCAGGGGAGCAAACGGG